GCCCGCCCACAGGCCGCCAUGGCGGAGCGGGGGCGGCGGGACCUGAUGGACGGUGCCCGGGCAGCCCAAUGGGGAGCUUCAUUAUGUGUGUGAGUGUUGCCCGUCUGUCUCCUUGUCCCAGACCUAGCAGCCCGCAAGACUGUGUGGUGACUAAAGAACGUGAGAAAGCAUAAUACCACAAGAGCAAAGACUGAAAGGAAAAAAGAUUUCUGAUUGCUUUUUUUUUUUAACGACUAUAAUUCAAAUAAGUUGAAGAUAGAAUGAUUUGCAUUACACAUUCAAUACUUUCGAUUCAACUUGAGGUGGCUGCUGUCAAUACAUAUCUGUUGAAACCCCAAAGAUAUUCCAAGAAAAUCAAUAAAAAUCCAAUUUUACAAUCCUGAUAUUUUCAGAGUGUUUAAAAAAUUGGCAAAAAACUACCCUUUUUUAUACAUUACAGAAAAGCCAGUAAGGUGCAUUAUUGAUUUUUCACAAAUUGUUUUUAAGUGACUGUUAAGGCUGGAUGAGAACAAGAAGCUAGUGUACUAACACAAGUUUUGCACGCGUUUGACACACCACGUAUAUGGUAUGGUGUAUGGUAUGGUUCUUUAAAGUGGGUAUUUAAAAAUCCAAGUGUAAUUGUAGAAAUCAUGUAAUUACUUUUUUUUGUAUCAGAUUCCCUGUGUAGAAUGAAGUAGUGCAUGCAUUCAAGUAUAUGUUCUAAGGGUACUUCAACUUUGACCGCUGUCAGAGAAAAGGCCGUUACAAUAUUUCUGCUACAAACGUGCCAUCAAUGUUGUCUGUGCAAGCAGAGAAGGUACAAUGCAAAUUAAAAUAAGAGAAAGGAAGGAAGAAAAGGAAGGAAGAAAAGGAAGGAAGAAAAGGAAGGAAGAAAAGGAAGGAAGAAAAGGAAGGAAGAAAAGGAAGGAAGAAAAGGAAGGAAGAAAAGGAAGGAAGAAAAGGAAGGAAGACGGGGGGAAAAAAAAAAAAGUCUGGUCAGAGUUUUUAGCCAGGAUGUCAUGGUCUGGUGGAUUGAGACAGAAAAUUAAUAAAGGAAAAAAGAGAGCCAAAAGGAAAAACCAAAGCCUAGACUGAGGUAGCAAAAAUGAAGUGAAUUUUAAAACAUGCAUAUAUAGUGGAGGAAUGCUAUAAUCUUGUUAUUGUAACCUUGAUCCACUCUUUCUCUUCUUCCAGCAUUUAUCGCUCUCAUUAGUUAUGUAGUGUCUAAAAGCAGAUUGUAAAUUUCUUGUGUCAGGACAGUGUCAUUAAUGUAUUCUGAACAUGCCUAGUAUAACUUUAGAUGUUGUAUACAAAAAUAAUAUCAUCUUUUGGGGUUUUCUGUAUUAUUUCUAAGCAUAGGAAAAAUUAAGAUGCAGCAAGCCUGGAAAGGUCAAACUGUGUCUCCCCUCAUUCUGUGCAUGACUUCAGAAAUAAUCAAAAAGUUAUGCUGAGAUAACUGAUAUGAAACCUGAGACACCGUGAUCACAAAACUUGGAUCAAUUUGUGCCCAUGCGGGCGAAGCAUCAUCUCAUUUCACUCCUGAAAAUAUUUUUUUUAAUUUUACAUUUUAUGGAUAUUUUGAACUGUUUGUUCCUAACAAUUGUCCUCACGGAUGUGCAUCAAUAUUGUGUAAUUACACAGAGAAACUGUCAGCCUGCAGGAACCCAGUCGGUAAAUUACAACUGUACUGAGAGCGGAAGGGGAGCAAGUUGUGACUCCAGGAUUUUGAGCGCUACCUUCCUUUUCUGCUCUUCCGCAAGCACUUUUGAGCUUGUAAAAGUGGUGGACUGCCAACGUGUGGUGCUUUCUCAGACCCGCUUCCUUUCUCUUUCACUGCUCCUCGGAGCAGGGCAGAGCUUUGCUGAGGGCUGGGUUGCCCAUGUGCACUUAUGGCCUGCCUCUGGCUAGGACGGGAAAGAACGGUCAGUGCCAGCCCCCCAGGUGCAGAAUGGAAAAAGAAAUGUUACCCAAGGACAGGUAAAAAUGCUUACUAUUACAAUCCUGAUAUUUUUCAAUUAUUUUCAGGAAAUAACCUUCAUUUUUAAGUUCCCAACAGAAAGGUAUACAUGUGUAUACGAUAAAAGUUCACUUUUUCUGGGAAAGAUGAAGGGCUGAGUCAGUUCUCCUGGAUUUGAACCUGUGGAUCGAGACAGGUCAGGAAUUUCAAACCUCAAGUGUGAUGCUAAGCAAGAAUUACAACACUGCGCCAUUCAGAAGCAGGUAGAAGGGGCCCAAAGAGCUCUCCUACGCUGGAACCCUGCAAUUCCCUGGAAGCUGUCAGUAGUGAAAGUACUUUCAAGU